rnacentral:rRNA from 1 species
AUGGAGGAAUCCUUCACGGCCCCCUCCGUCGAUCGCCCCGCCGUCGACCCCGCCUCCUUCCACCCCCCUGCAGUCGAUCCCGCCAGCGCCAACCCAUCCCGCUACCCCUCCUGGGUCCUCCUCGACAGCAGAGCCUACUUCGCCGACCGCGUCAACGCCACCACCGUGAAGGCCACGACGAGCACGGGCCACGACUUGGAGGUCACCUUUUGUCUCGCCCACCCGCCUGCCGUCUCCUACUUCUGCGUCCACUUUCCUGGAAUCAGCGUACUAGAGUGUUGCACCACUGAGCCCCGCGUCAUUUCCUCCGCCAAUGACCUCGCGCUCCUAUGCUUCCCCUUGAGAACUGGCACAUCCAGCACCUACGACUACUUCGUCUACAGGGCUGCCUCCGGUGGCAAGCCCACCAUCAGAUCGGUCCCGUGUCCUCCUCCAACCUACAGGCACUCAUGGCACGCAGCCAUCGUAUCCCGCGACGAUGGCAGUUUUUUGGUCGCUCAUCUUUCCCUGGGUCGGGACCUUGGGCACUACAACCUGCACAUCUUCUCGUCAGAGACAAACGAGUGGAGCACCAAACAUGUGCAGCUCAAGGAGCCUCCCGGUAUCCUGCCAAAGCUAACUCACAAGGUGAUCUCUCUUGGAGAAGGCACAGUAGGAUGGGUCGACCUCUGGCGCGGCAUUCUUGUCUGUGAUGUGCUUCACAAGGAUCCUGUUCUCCGCUUCAUCCCGAUGCCCAGGCUGCUGCCCAAGGCUGAUUAUGACGACGAGCCCCCGGAAAGCCAAGCAUUGGCCGAUUAUGACGCAGCACGGUCAGUGCGGGACGUCACCGGCUUCCCCAAUGGUUUCAUCGACUUCAUCGAGAUCGAACAUUGUUCCAAAUGGUCCAAGUUUAUCAACAUGAGGAGUUUCAAGACGACGGCCUAUCUUGAUUUCCUAGAUACCAUCAGUGACAAUGACCUCCUUAGAAAAGGGUACAAUUUCCAUGUUGAUGACAUAUCAGCCGAACCACAACUUGCUCUGCAGCUACUUCACCUGUGGGAUAGUACAACUGAGAAAUGCAGAGUGAGAAACCUCAAGACUACACCAGGCUUCCCGACCUUCACCACUUAUGGUUGUGCUCUUGUCCUCAUGUCUAAGGUGGGUGCCGACCAAGUCACAUGGAUGCUUGGUGUAGAUCUUGGGAAGAAGUCGCUGGAAGUCAUCAAGCCAUACCGUGCCUUGAGAGUCGAUUAUUACAAUCCGACCUUCAUUUCCUCAGCUACCCAGUCUGACACAAACUGGGCAGCACACGCCGUCUUCAACUUCAACUCAAUUAGAAUAAUGUGCGACUUGGGCCACCAUGUUGCCUUUCUUGCAGUAUAUGACGGCUGUAGUUAG